AAGAUCUCCUGUUUGCACCUGGUCGAGUAGAAACCGCUAUCAAUACAAGCGAGGUGGUCGAUCUCACUGGGCCUACGCAGACCGAUCCUCCUACUACAAUCCAGGAGCUCAGAGCUCUCGUUCCAAGAACACCACCUACACCGAUCGCUGAUCACGACCCUGAAACUGUGUCUGAGCCUGAGGCUGAUCCUGGACAUGACAGCGAGACUGACGAUGAUCUGAGGGGCCCGGCUGAGGUACCACCACCACCACAUCAGGAUGGUGCGGACAUCCAUUAUGUGAAUGGUAAGUACUUUAUUUUGUUCUCACUAAGUGUUCUGUACAUAAUUGGAAAAUAUAUAUGCUAUACAUGACUUUUUUCUCUAUCCUCAUUUUUUUUUUUAGAUUUUUUUGUUCGAGAUACGGAGUUGGGAGAAGACCGGACUCUUCUCGGCAUCGUUAGAAAUGCUGCUUUCGACCCGGCGCUUCGGAAGGCCAAAGCAGUUGCUGCCGACGUUCUGAACUGGAGCUUCAUGCGCGGUGGGAUAGCAUAUCUUCAGUACGGUGAUCUGCAACAGCUCAUGGAUGAGCGCUUAGAGCAAGCCUUGUCCUGUUAAAAAAAAAAAAAAAAAAAAAAAAAAAACACCCUGAAGCAGUAAAGCACGACAUUCCAAAAUAAAUUAUUGAAAAUCCCCGAGCAGUGUGA
rnacentral:lncRNA from 1 species